rnacentral:lncRNA from 1 species
GGUCGAGCAGUGCAGACCGCGGACCGGACCGAGGCAGCCGCCCUGAGCCCGCACCUCCUUCCCGCCGCACCGCCGGCCCGGAGCUCCGCCUGGCCCACGGCUGAGCUGCGGCACAGAGGCCGCACCGCGAACUUGGUGCCCGGAGACCGAGGACCGCCGCGGGGACUGUGCGGCCGGAGCAGGGAGCCCUUCCGGAUUUUUAGAGUGUCAUUCCAAGAAUAACAAAACUCUAAAACUUGGCAUUAUUUCUAAAAUUCUAGAACUCUGGAUCUCUGUGAAGUAUGAGAAAAUUCUAAAGACAUUGCACUCAGAAUGCCCCUUAAUGAUUCAUUUAAUGGCCAGCUGCCACACUGUCAUUGAUGGUUGCUUGUUAACAAACUUAAGCAAGCUAAAUUUUAUCAGUUUUUCCCUAACAAUAUGUAAUUGAUUCCAGGUGUGGAACAUGAACACCAUAUAAACCCUCAGAGCCUCCCAGUCCCGGCACAAAACCUCCUCGAGCCAAGGUAGCUGACCUGGUGGUGCUCUGCUUCGGGGAGGGCCUACACAUGUUCACACCCUGGCCUCCAGGCAAAUAGUGUUAGACGCAGCACCCAGUCGGGAGAGGCAGAGGGCCUCCCAAGGCACACUGCUGCAGGGUGAGGUCACUCAGAGUCAGCUGUUCUGCAGAAAGAGCUGAGUGUUGAACAGAGGAGUACGGAAAGGAGAGCACUGAUGGGUUUCGAAAACCGAAGCCAGAGCGAUGAGGCUCCUGCCUAAUUGUCUCUCCCUCUGAGACAGAUUCAGGGUCUGGAGGAGGGUCAAAAGAUUCACUUCUGAAGAGGUGGAGAAGCAGUCACUUCUUACCUCAAAGAACACCAUGCCACUGCCCUGUGUUUGGAGAAACGCAGAGCUUCUCGCUGUCGAGCGGGACCUGGUGAUUCAUCCAAGGUCAGUGCCGGCAGUUGAGGGAGGAGCUCCAGCAGCUCCUGAGGCAGCCUUCACUUUGCCCCCAGGGCCUGCACACACUGGAGGGGGACAGUCUGCUCCUGAGAACAAGACACCUGCCCUGCCGAAGCUGUGUUUCCUGGAAGCUUGCCUGGCUUCUCCAGCUGGGGAGUUUCGAAGACUCAUGAAGCAACACUUCCUGAAACUGAAACUUCUUCACCAGAGGCCGGUGGCCAGUUUCCCUGAGCGUGCGAGGGUCACCGCGCAUUGGGCCCCGGGGACGGCACCCUUGAUCCAUCUGCCUGGCACCGGGUCGGUGAAUGCCUUCGGGAAAGCAGAGCCAUCGCUAUGAGGACAUGGAGAGAAGAGCUCCAUGCUGCUGCAAUGCAGCCCUGACAACGGACGGCAGAGCGGCCGGCAGCCCCACCUCGCCCGUCCCGGGCCGUGGUCCGGGUGAGGACCAGUUUCUGAAUCCGCCUCGGACCGCCACCGAUCUAUGCCACUCCCUCUUUUAUGUACUUUCAGCCGUAACUUCCUUGAUACCGUUAGCAGCAGGGAAAAGAAAGCCUCAGUUUUUACACGUCAAAGCAUGAUAUUCUGUUAUAAAAUAAUUUUGCAGGUAACUUUUCCAACUGAAACGUUGCUUCUUAAUAAAUCAGUAAAUAAUGCAAUAUGUAUAUACACAAAUAAAAAAUCUCAUGAAUUAAAGAGCUCUGUUUUCUAUACACUCUAAAGAAGAAUUAUGCUUUCUUUUACAAAGAGU